rnacentral:rRNA from 1 species
ACGAACGCUGGCGGCAGGCUUAACACAUGCAAGUCGAGCGCCCAGCAAUGGGAGCGGCGCACGGGUGAGUAACACGUGGGAACGUGCCCUAUGGUUCGGAAUAACGCAGGGAAACUUGCGCUAAUACCGGAUAAGCCCUUACGGGGAAAGAUUUAUCGCCAUUGGAGCGGCCCGCGUUGGAUUAGCUAGUUGGUGGGGUAAAAGCCUACCAAGGCAACGAUCCAUAGCUGGUUUGAGAGAACGACCAGCCACACUGGGACUGAGACACGGCCCAGACUCCUACGGGAGGCAGCAGUGGGGAAUCUUGGACAAUGGGGGAAACCCUGAUCCAGCCAUGCCGCGUGAGUGAUGAAGGCCUUAGGGUUAGUAAAACUCUUUCGGCGGGGACGAUAAUGACGGUACCCGCAGAAGAAGCUCCGGCUAACUUCGUGCCAGCAGCCGCU